AGGUGCUUAGCUCAGCAGGCAGAGUAAUGUGUUUACACCACGAAGGUCGGAAGUUCGAGCCUUCCAGCACCUA
rnacentral:tRNA from 1 species